rnacentral:rRNA from 1 species
AGCGAACGCUGGCGGCAGGCCUAACACAUGCAAGUCGAACGAACCUUUCGGGGUUAGUGGCGGACGGGUGCGUAACACGUGGGAACGUGCCUUUAGGUUCGGAAUAACUCAGGGAAACUUGUGCUAAUACCGAAUGUGCCCUUCGGGGGAAAGAUUUAUCGCCUUUAGAGCGGCCCGCGUCUGAUUAGCUAGUUGGUUGAGGUAAUGGCUCACCAAGGCGACGAUCAGUAGCUGGUCUGAGAGGAUGAUCAGCCACAUUGGGACUGAGACACGGCCCAAACUCCUACGGGAGGCAGCAGUGGGGAAUCUUGCGCAAUGGGCGAAAGACUGACGCAGCCAUGCCGCGUGAAUGAUGAAGGUCUUAGGAUUGUAAAAUUCUUUCACCGGGGACGAUAAUGACGGUACCCGGAGAAGAAGCCCCGGCUAACUUCGUG